ACCAGUGUGGUAUAGUGGUUUGAAUGUUGGACUAUGAUUCCGGAGACCAGGAUUUGAAUCCCUGCUCAGCCA